AACGGUCUAUACCUGCGGUACCUGCGGAGGGAUCAUUACUGAAGUUACCUUCUAAAACCAUCAUGUGAACCUUACCCCUGCCGCGCUGUUGCCUCGGCGGGACGCCGGAGCCCCGGCUCCGGCGCCGCCGGCAGCGCCAAACUCUACCUUGAAACAGCGGAAACGCACUCUGAUUUAGAAGCGAAAACAAGUCAAAACUUUCAACAACGGAUCUCU
rnacentral:misc_RNA from 1 species